rnacentral:sRNA from 1 species
CCCUAGCCCUGAUGGGGAACGGCAUUUUUUGUGUCUCGUUUUUUUUCUAACGAGACACAAAAAAUAUAGUGGACAGCAGGAAUCAGC